GACGAACGCUGGCGGCGUGCUUAACACAUGCAAGUCGAACGGAGUGGCGAACGGGUGAGUAACACGUGGGUGACCUGCCCUGCACUUCGGGAUAAGCCUGGGAAACUGGGUCUAAUACCGGAUAGUGUGGGAUGGGCCCGAGGCAUGUCAGCUUGUUGGUGGGGUAAUGGCCUACCAAGGCGGGGAAGGGUAGCCGGCCUGCGAGGGUGGACGGCCACAUUGGGAAUGAGACCCAGCCCCGACUCCUACGGGAGGCAGCAGUGGGGAAUAUUGCACAAUUGGCGGAAGCCUGAUGCAGCGACGCCGCGUGGGGGAGGACGGCCUUCGGGUUGUAAACCCCUUUCACCAUCGACGCGGUAGAUGGAGAAGAAGCACCGGCUAACUACGUGCCAGCCGCCGCGGUAAUAC
rnacentral:rRNA from 1 species